rnacentral:lncRNA from 1 species
AGGAAGGAAGGAAGGAAGGAAGGAAGGAAGGAAGGAAGGAAGGAAGGAAGGAAGGAAAAGAAAAGAAAGAAGAGCAUCAGUAGCCCUCCAAGGAUCCUCCAGGACUCCAGCACCAGAUUCAGGUUGCUCAGACAUCCAGCCUCAUGGACUCAGCAGCCACCUUUCUCUGCACUCUUCUGUCAUAAGACAGCCAUUGUUGGAUCACCCAUACACGCAUCCUGUAAGCCAGUCUGGUAAAACCCAUUUCCUGUGUCUCUCCAUCCUAUCAGCUCUGUUCCUUUAGAGAACACUGGUUAAUAUGACAUGUCCACCGUAGUUACAUAGAACACCGAGAUUAAACAGUCAUGUACGUUAUGGUCCUCAGAUGAUGGAACAUGUCAGUAUGCCACUCUGCUAAAGAGCUAUUGGCAGUUGAAGGCUGCUGGGAGAGAAGAGCCAUUUUCUCCAAGAAUGUUGCCCCUGGAAAGCUUUUUAGAAAAGGACUCAUGAAGCAUGGAGGAAGUUCCUGGGCUUGAUCCCCAGCACAACCCUGCAUAAACCAGGCUCAGGCCUGUAAUUCUAGAACCAUGGGGGUUAAGGCAGGAAGAUCAGAAGUUCAACUCCAUUUCUCAGCUACUCAGUGCACAGCAGCCUACAGAUGGCGUUAUCUCAAAAUAACAACAAAAAUCCAGAUCGAGGAUGUUGAUUACUUCCGCCAACAUUUCUCUCCUCUGUUCUCAUCUACAAACUCAAAGUUCAGCUACUUGGGAGGAUCUCAGCCCCAUCUGAGCAGCCUAAACCCCCAACACAGCGCUCUGUAAACCCCCAGCACUUUACUCUGCCUGUCCUCUGCAGCUGAGAUGAUACAACUGUAAGUUCAGCCCUGAGGUUGGGAGAGAAAGAAGCAGAGGCAGAGGCUGGGACAGAUAGUCAGACUUGCCCUCCAUCUCGGAGGGAAUUCUGGUUAAGACCAGUCCUCCUCGCCCCCAAGAAAUUCACAUUUGCUGCUGCAUACCCUCAGAUAAAUGGCUGACUGUUCUCUAUGCAGAAGCCAUAGUAUGUACAAAUGAGGCGCAGUUCAAGUCGCCAACAGCAAAGGGGUGAGAACAGGUAAACCCGAGGCAUUUUAAGGGACUGAAGAGCCGGUCUCUGGGAGUUACGAGAUGGGAGAACUUGCUUAGACCAUUAAGAAAAUGUGAAUCUGAUCAGAUCUAAACAGCAGAACUGGGGACUGGUUAGCAGAGGCCUGGGGAUCCCCAGGGAGGCCCAGCCCUUUACUCCUUAAAGCCAUGCUGGACAAAGCAGUGCUUCAAGGGCAGUGGUUGGAAGGUAGAGUCGAUUCCUGAUGCUUAGAAGUCCAUGAGUCUUCUAAAAAGAUAUUCAGUGGUGGGUAAAAGAUUUGGAUGUGGUGACUUCCAUAUCUAGUUCAGGAAAUGGUCAGUGCAUCAUAUGCAAUAAAGCUUUUGUUGAAUGGAUGCAGGUCAUCUGUGAUAAACUAAUAUACUGGUAAUACAUUUAAGCAAAGCCCCAGCUGUCUUCUGAACUCUCCCAUCACGCAGCAGAAGCUCUCCAGUGUGCAUCACAGCCACCCUCUGGUGAGCAUGCGCGAGGCCAGCUUUCCUUUUCAGAAGGCAGUGCCUGUCUGGAGAGGUCCCUCUUCACCUGUCCCAGUAGAUGGCAUUCAGAGAGAGGGAAGGAACAAGGGCUAUUGCCAGGAAUAGAGCAAAGACGAAGGCACCCAAUGUAGGGCACCCCUGGAGCCUACAAACGUGCUGUGUACCAGAAAGAAUCAGCCUCCCACCAGCAGUCAUGGUGACAGUCAGGACCUGCCUGGGAAGUCAUCCAGGACCCAAGAAGCAGCAUUGGACUUAGCACAGAACAAAAAAUAAUAAUUGCUUUUUGCUUGUACUGUAUUGGGUCCAACUCAGUUAAUAAAGCAGAGACUCAGUAAUAAGGACACAGAGCCUAUAACCUCCCUCGAAGGGCUGGG